rnacentral:rRNA from 1 species
GGUCAAGCUACAAAGGGCGCAUGGUGAAUGCCUUGGCAUCAGGAGCCGAUGAAGGACGUGAUAAGCUGCGAUAAGCUUCGGGUAGGCGCACAUAGCCUGAGAUCCGAAGAUCUCCGAAUGAGGAAACUCACAUGGGAAACCCCAUGUAUCAUUAAGUGAAUACAUAGCUUAAUGAAGGUAACCCAGGGAACUGAAACAUCUAAGUACCUGGAGGAAGAGAAAGAAAAAUCGAUUUUCUUAGUAGCGGCGAGCGAAAGGGAAAGAGCCCAAACCGGAAACUUGUUUCCGGGGUUGUGGACAUAACAUAAAAGUGGAGGCUAUUGUAACUGAAGAGAACUGGAAAGUUCCACCGUAGAAGGUAAUAGUCCUGUAAGUGAAACGAGAAGACCACGAGUUAUGAUCCAGAGUACCACGAGACACGUGAAACCUUGUGGGAAGCAGGGAGGACCACCUCCCAAGGCUAAAUACUACCUGAUGACCGAUAGUGAAGCAGUACCGUGAGGGAAAGGUGAAAAGAACCCCGGGAGGGGAGUGAAAUAGAACCUGAAACCGUGUGCCUACAACCGCUCAGAGCCCCUUAUGAGGGUGAUGAGGUGCUUUUUGUAGAACGAGCCAACGAGUUACGGUAUGUAGCAAGGUUAAGUACUUAAGGUACGGAGCCGAAGGGAAACCGAGUCUGAAUAGGGCGACUAGUUGCAUGCCGUAGACCCGAAACCGGGUGACCUAUCCAUGGCCAGGUUGAAGCGAGGGUAAAACCUCGUGGAGGACCGAACCACGUUGCUGUUGAAAAAGCAUGGGAUGAGCUGUGGAUAGCGGAGAAAUUCCAAUCGAACCCGGAGAUAGCUGGUUCUCUCCGAAAUAGCUUUAGGGCUAGCGUCGAGUAUGAGUAGUGGAGGUAGAGCACUGAAUGGGCUAGGGGGCAUAGCGCUUACCGAACCUUAUCAAACUCCGAAUGCCACAUACUUUGAGCUCGGCAGUCAGACUACGAAUGAUAAGAUCCGUGGUCAAAAGGGAAACAGCCCAGAUCGUCAGCUAAGGUCCCAAAGUGUAAGUUAAGUGGGAAAGGAUGUGAGAUUUCUAAGACAACUAGGAUGUUGGCUUAGAAGCAGCCAUUCAUUAAAAGAGUGCGUAAUAGCUCACUAGUCGAGAGAUCUUGCGCCGAAAAUGUAACGGGGCUAAACUUACCACCGAAGCUACGGGCUUGAACUUAGUUCAAGCGGUAGGAGAGCGUCGUAACCGGGCUGAAGUCGUACCGUAAGGAGCGGUGGACUGGUUACGAGUGAGAAUGUUGGCAUCAGUAGCGAGAUGUGGGUGAGAAUCCCACAGGCCGAAAACCUAAGGUUUCCUCAGGAAGGUUCGUCCGCUGAGGGUUAGUCGGGACCUAAGCCGAGGCCGAAAGGCGUAGGUGAUGGACAACUGGUUGAUAUUCCAGUACCACUACCAUCGUUAUUAUCGAUGGCGUGACGCAGGAGGAUAGUGUGUGCUAGCUAUUGGAUGCUAGUCUAAG